AGGCCCUUUAAAAACCCCAGAGCUGCGGCGCUGUGGGCAACCUUCCUGGGAAAUGUAGUCUCUGUGUGCAGUCUGCCUGCUACCCAGGCAGCUUCUCCGCGGGCCAGAAAAAGGGGGGCUCUGCUGCCUCUGGGGUUAGUGUGGCAGAGAAAUGAAACCCUGAGUGGGAAAUCCUGUCCAUCGAGCAGCCAACAUCUAGGCAAAUAUUUGAAGGAGGCAAGGAAAGAAGCUGUUCCUGUUACAAGAGGAGGAGUCUUCCCUUCAGAAGAAACAGCUGGCACCAAGGACGGGUGGCCGCGAUGUGCAGAGUGGCUGAAACAAGGACACCCCAAGGCAAGUCUCCUCAGGAAGCCUGGAGUGGCUAAAACUGCAAAGGUCUGCAACAAAGUGAGCCCUCCCCAGAAGUGUGGACCCAGCAAGGACACCAGGGGACACAGCUCCAAUCUCAGGAGAGGAUAAAGCAGAGGAGUCCAUCCGGAAGGACGGGAUUGCCCCUUGCCGCCUAGCCUGGACCCCCUCGUUGGAAAAGCCCACCCUCAGCCUGGCCCGUCCAGUCCAGCACUUCAUCUAGCCUCUCUCUGCCUUGCGGUGGGUGUCUUCACCGGUUCUCACUGGGGUUGGUUUUGCAUCCCCAAGGAGUACUUGACAGUGCUUGAAACAGAGGCGAAGUAAUUGCCCCCAAACCACACAGCUGCACUCCCAGGCCAGGCUGGCCGGACAGCGAACCGUUCAUCUGUCUUGUCAUCCCCCCCAGGUAUUAUGCUCUGGUGGGUAUUGCUAUUGUGGCUCUGUGACAGUGCUCAGAACGCACAGAACAGGACCACGGGAGGGCAUGACAGAUGCCAGGGAAGGCCCUGUCCCUGGUUUGAGAACGUGAAAAGAGAAUGUGGGUCGAAAGGUGAGCUGGCCGGGGCAUAUGGGGCUGGCUUUAAGUCAUGGUAAAUGACUUAGAAUUUGUUCACAGUGCACUGAGAACAUGGUGCAGGGAGAAUUUAAAAGAGUCGAUAAGCUUCAUAAAAUAAUACAAUUAUUUUGAGGUAAAAAUGUUAAAGUAUGACAUACAAAAUUAUCACAUACACUGUCCACAGACAAAGUAGAUCACAUUUGUACAAUUCUUAAACUAACAUGAAGCCAGACAGCCGAGUCCUGUCUGUAGUUAAAAUAAGAAACAUGCCGGUGGGGGAGAGAAUACACAGCAAGCCCAGGACAGCAAGGCUACAUAGAGAGACUAUGUUUCAAUUGCCGCUCCCCCCCCCCACUCCUCGCCCCCAUGCAAGCCCAAGGACCUGAGUUCAAGCCCUAGAACCCACUGUGGGAGGAGAGAACCAAUUCCAAAAAGUUGCUUUCUAAAAGCGGUCCCCUGACAUCCGCACACACAUACCUCAGCACGAACACCUCCCUAUGGGUAUAUUACACACAAUAAUGAAAAAAGAAACAUGGCAGGUCUCCCCCACAGGCCCCUGCCUGUGCUCACCACCAGGGAUAUAAAUAGCUUUUUGGUUUUUCCUUCUGGCUUAACCACAUCCCACGAGCUAAUCCUAUGCAAUAAUUACUUUUUCUUCUUUACUUUGGGGCCAAACAAAAACAAUCUGACCAUUUGUUUUUCGAUUUGUUUUGUUUUUUUGAGACUGGGACUUGUUUUGGGGGACAAGGUUUCUCUGUGUAGCCCUAGCUGUCCUGGAACCCUCUCUGUAGUCCAGUCUGGCCUCGAACUCACAGAGAUCUGCCUGCCUCUGCCUCCCAAGUGCUGGGAUUCAAGGUGUGCACCACCACCCCCAGGUGAGACUGGGACUGAUGCUUGAAACUCAGAUUGGCCCUGAGUUUUCAAUGUAGCCUAAAAUGACCUUGGCCUUCUGACCUUCAAGCUUCCGCAUCCUGGGAUUACAGGUCUGCACCAUCACACCUGCUUCACGCAAUGCUAGGGCUUGACCUCAGGACUUCAUGCACACUAGGCAAGCACAAAGCCCUCUUUUUAUGAUGAAUUUCUUAGUGGGGCUUCUUUUAGUCAAUGUUAUUGUUCUUACCAUUAAUGUUCUUUUUCAUUUGUUUGUUUGUUGGUUGGUUUUUUGAGUCAGGGUUUCUCUGUGUAAUAGCUCUGACUAUCCUGGAACUGGCUUUGUAGACCAGGUUGCCCUUGAACUCACAGAGAUCCACAUGCUUCUGCCUGGGAUCCAAGGUAUAUACCACCAAGCCCAGCUCAUUAAUGUUCUCUUGUGUCUUUGUUGAACUGGAAUUAGAGGCUGUUGUGAGCCUCCCUGGGAGGCCAGAAACUAAACUGGGGUUCUUCUCAAGAGCAGUGAGUGGGCUCUCUCUCCCCCUCAAAUCAAGAGAGAAGAGAGUGGAAAAGAGAUAAAGAAAGAGAAACAGGGGCUCAGGAGGUGACGUCAAGCUCUUACAUCCAAGCAUGAGGAUCUGAGUUCGAAUCCCCCAAACCCACGUAAAGCUACAUGAAAUAGUGUGUCUGUAACCCCAGCGCAUCUAUGAUGAGAUUGGAAACAGACAGGAGAACCCUCAGACAUUCCUGGGCCGGCCAGCCGGGCAUAGGAAGUGAUGAGGUGAUGAGCAGCCAGAGACUCUGACUCAAACGAGAUAGAAGGUGAGAACCAACGCCCAUAAGUGUCUAACCUUACACACUCCUAUUCACACACACACACACACACACACACACACACACACACACACACACACAAAACAAAACAAAACAGAGAGAGAAUGGACCCCUGAGGUGGGCUCAGCAGGUAAAGAUCCUUGCCUGAGGACCAGAGUUCAAGCCCUGGACUCCACAUGGAUGACAACGACGACAAUGACUACCACAGGCUUUCCUCAGACUGUCUCACAUCAGACUAUGGACCAUGUGCUCCCCCCGCUACACACACAAUAAAUAAAUAAAUAAAUAAAUAAAUGAAAA